CCUCCCUUUAAACCAGUUCAGAGAAACUGGAAAGGGGUAUAUUCCUCCUCUAUUCUGCACGUAUAGCCGUGUGACAAGAGAGCGAAUUACCUCUUUGAAUCUCAAAGGGGUUUUUUGUUU
rfam:Bacillus beveridgei strain MLTeJB, complete genome.